GCGGCGGCCGUGGCGCUGGGAGCUCCUGUCACCGCUGGGGCCGGGCCGGGCCGGGCCGGGCCGGGCGGAAGUGCUCGGGACGUGAGGGCGCGAGGGCCGGGACAUGGGACCCGCCAGCCCCGCCGCUCGCGGUCCGGGCCCGCUGCCGUUGUUGCUGCCACUAUUUCUGCUGCUUCUGCGCGCGCAACUCGCCGUCGGGAACCUGGCCGGUGGGAGCCCCAGCGCAGCCGAGGCCCCAGGGUAUGCACAGGUGGCUGGACUAUGCGGGCGCCCAACCCUUCACCGGGACCUGCGCACCGGCCGCUGGGAACCAGACCAACAGCUCUCACGACGCUGUCUCCGGGACCCGCAACGCGUGCUGGAGUACUGCAGACAGAUGUACCCGGAGCUGCAGAUUGCACGUGUGGAACAGGCGACGCAGGCCAUCCCCAUGGAGCAAUGGUGCGGGGAUGCCUGGGGUGGCAGCUGUGCCCACCCCCACCACCAGGUUGUGCCUUUCCGAUGCCUGCCUGGUGAAUUUGUGAGUGAGGCUCUGCUGGUGCCUGAAGGCUGCAGGUUCUUGCACCAGGAGCGCAUGGACCAGUGCGAGAGUUCAACGCGGAGGCAUCAGGAGGCACAGGAGGCCUGCAGCUCCCUGGGCCUCAUCCUGCAUGGCUCGGGCAUGCUUUUGCCCUGUGGUGCGGAUCGGUUCCGAGGCGUGGAGUAUGUGUGCUGCCCGCUUCCAGCGACCCCCAACCCGUCUGGGACAGCAGCUGGUGACCCUUCCACCCGGUCCUGGCCCCCCGGGGGCAGCGUUGAGGGGGUUGAGGAUGAGGAAGAGGAGGAGCCCUUCCUACAGCCCGUGGAUGAUUACUUUGUGGAGCCCCCCAGGGCUGAAGAGGAGGAAAGAGUCCCACCCGCAAGCUCCCGUGCCCCUGCAGAGGUCAGCACAGUGACUCCCACCCCAAGGCCCACAGAUGGCGUGGACGUGUACUUCGGCAUGCCUGGAGAAGCCAGUGAGCAUGAGGGCUUCCUGCGGGCCAGGAUGGAUCUGGAGGCACGCAGGAUGCGCCAAAUUAACGAGGUGAUGCGUGAGUGGGCCAUGGCGGACAACCAGUCCAAGAACCUGCCUAAAGCCGACAGACAGGCCCUGAAUGAGCACUUUCAGUCCAUUCUGCAGACCCUGGAGGAGCAGGUGUCCGGUGAGCGACAGCGCCUGGUGGAGACCCAUGCCACCCGAGUCAUCGCUCUUAUCAACGACCAGCGCCGGGCUGCCUUGGAAGGUUUCCUGGCGGCGCUGCAGGGGGAUCCGCCUCAGCCAGAGCGUGUCCUGCUGGCCCUGCGGCGCUACCUGCGGGCGGAGCAGAAGGAACAAAGGCACACGCUGAGGCACUACCAGCACGUGGCUGCCGUGGACCCCGAGAAGGCCCAGCAGAUGCGCUUCCAGGUGCAGACCCAUCUUCACGUAAUCGAGGAAAGGAUGAAUCAGAGCCUGGGGCUGCUUGACCAGAACCCCCGCCUGGCUCAGGAGCUGCGGCCCCAGAUCCAGGAACUCCUCCACUCUGAACACCUGGGCCCCAGUGAAUUGGAAGCCCCUGCCCCAGCGGGCAGCAGUGAGGACAAGGGUGGGCUGCAGCCCCUGGACUCCAAGGAUGGGGGUUCCCCCACACUUUCUCCAGUGAUGCUCUCCUCUCUUCACUGUUCCGCCUGUCUUGCCUCCUCUGGCUGCCAGCAGACACCCCGAUGGCCCUUCCAAAAGGGUCCACAGAACAAGCUGCUGCAUCCUCUGGGAAAGAGAAGAUGUCCCCCCUGGAGCAGUAUGAACGAAAGGCACCAGCUGGCACAGGUGUGUCCCGAGAGGCCGUGUCCGGUCUGCUGAUCGUGGGAGCGGGUGGGGGCUCCCUGAUCGUCCUCUCCAUGCUGCUCUUGCGCAGGAAGAAGCCCUACGGGGCUAUCAGCCACGGCGUGGUGGAGGUGGACCCCAUGCUGACCCUGGAGGAGCAGCAGCUGCGUGAACUGCAGCGUCACGGCUAUGAAAACCCCACCUACCGCUUCCUGGAGGAACGACCCUGAAUCAGCCCCCUUCGUCCCUUCGGCUGAGCCCAGACCUUCCCUUUUCCUGGAGCCCCAGAAUCCCAACUCCCAGCCCGGGGGAGGGGGUCUUGAAAAAGUUCAUUUCACACCCUUUGUGAGGGGGCUGGAAAGUCUUAUUUCCCCUUUCCAAUUCCAAAUUCCACCCCUAAGAAACCCCCAGGUAUUCCCAGCUGCCUCCUUGCUUGGGACCUCCUCACUUUAAUUUAUUUUGUAUAUUAAUGUAUUGUUCCUUGAGGUGACCACUAGUUGGCCCCACUGUCUGUUGUUCCCUGGAAUUCACCCUCCCACGUGUCCCCCACUAAUAUCCCAAUAAAGUCCUCUUCCCCACCAAGC